GUAAAAGGGGGGCGGUGGGAGCGAGGGCUGGCCGGCUAGCCCCCUCGGCUCGGCGCGGCUCUGCGCGGCUCGGCACGGCGGGGACGGGCGAGGCGAGGCGGCAGCGCGGGGAGGCAGCGCCGCCAGCUCGAGGUGGCCGUGGCCGGAGCCCCCGAGCUGAUGCCGAGGAGAGAACAGAGGCCACGUCGGUGUGGAGGGGCCGUCGGGGCGCCCCCCGCCGCCUGCCGCCAUCCCCCCGGGGCGGUGGUGCUUGGUUGCCGGAGCUCGGCACCUCGUCUUCGGCUCUUUCUUUCACGCUCUGAAGUAGUGGCGUUUAACGAGACUCGAAAUCGAGGAUGUGGAGUGGCAGGUUCCCGGAGACCACAUAGUUCAAGAGGAGAAGCAAUCCCUCUUAAAUACCCAUGGAAAGGCCAGUGAAAUAAAAGUGAUGUUAUUUGUUAAACAUUCAGUUCCUAAAGGGAACUCAAAGUGAGAAAGGCCAGGAUUACAUGCAUCUCUGUCUACACUGAAAGGAUGUAUUUUCCUCUGUCCUUAGUUACUCACAUUCUCUAUAUUUGUCUGGAAUCAGGGCCAUAACAAACAUAAACUCUCAAAAAAUAAAAGCUAUGAUGCAUCUCUGUCCACCUAUUUAUGUGAUACAGGAAGGACUGAGUGGCAAUACAUACUUCCAUUUUGUUUGAGGUUUACAUGUAUCUUGAGGUCGAAAGACUUUGAGAAAAGCACUGAGCUGGUCUUAAAUCUAAGUCAUACAACAUCUAGUUGAACAGAAGCUAGUUUAUAAUUUUCUUAAAAUACUGUUUUCUGGAUCUUACACACUGCUGCUUUACUUCAGUUUCUAUGAAACAUACAAUGUCAAUGGAAUUAAUGUAAUUUACCAGUGUAAAAUAGGAGCAUCUCACUGGUGAACCCAAUGUACAUUUUCAGAAUUAAUAUUUCUGUCAGUGAUUUCAAAGGUCAGUCAGAGAACACUCAUAUGCUUCUAAGGGACAGAAUACAGCUAUUGCUGUUGUUCAAAAGCUGCUCUAAAUAAUAAAAUAUUAUUUAUGUCUAAUUUUACUAAACCAAUGGUGCUUAUCAUACAUGUAAAGCAGGAAGAGUAAUAAUUUUAUUGGCAGACAAGGAAUAAACUAUGAAAUUGUGAAAUGUUGAUGAUAGACAAUUUAGGUUGGCACUUUAAACCUGAUAGAUAGUAUGUAACAUUGCUUCAAACAUUUAUUCAAUGUCCUCUGAUAACUUUUCUACCUUGAUAUAAUCAUUAGUUAACCUAUCAGUAACUUUGAUUGCAAUGCAGGGUGAAGAAUAUGAGCUUCAUGUAAGAAAUUAUAUUCUGAAUAUAGACUUGCUUAUAUUCUGAAUAUAAACAUGCCUUGAUAAACGUAUGAAAGUCUCAACUAUGAUGUCAGCUGAUAAAUACCUGAGUCUAGGUUUAUCAUAUGGUAGUUACAAAGGCAUAUCACACGACUUUACACAUGCUGUAAUAAAAUGAAUAAGCACAAUUUAUUCUCAAUGAUACCUGAAACUAAUUUUAAUUCAACUAAUCAUUCAUUCCUAGAGUGUUUCACCAAGUGUCAUGGAAGAUAGUAAUUUUAAGAACAGUAACAUGCAUUCAGAACAACGUCUCUAACCCAGAACUAUUUCCACCCUCAUCAAGAUUCUUCGCACAAGGGAUGGAAAUAUUCCAAAAACAUCAAUGUGUUACAUAAUAAUCCCAUGUACAGCAACUGCGGACAGCAGAAAGCCAAAAGCUUGUAUCACUGAGUAAUCAGUCACAAUCUGGUGUCUUCUUCUUAUGUUUUGGGUGGGUAGGAACAAUAACAUUGCUCUUCCCAAGCAACAAGACUGCUGUACUAGGAAAUUAAAUAGUCCUUGGGACCAUUCUCUAGCCUGGACAACUAAAAUAGUCUGGCCAUGCUAUCAAACCCUCAGAGCCUCCAAACGUGCCCAUCCACUUGCAUCCAAAUGCUGAGUGGUCCCAGAAGUCAUCUGUGAGGUUGUUGGUUGAGCCAGACCACACCAGGGCAUUUCCAAGUCUUUCCUCCAUGAAGGAUCUUAUGUUCAGAUCAGCGAUGAAAUUCACUCUCACUGAAUGUUUUAUGCCCACAUCAUGUACAAGACAAUAGCUAGCUGCUGGGGCAAGUCAUGUCUGCUUUGUGCUGGG